GAUGAACGCUGGCGGCGUGCCUAAUACAUGCAAGUCGAGCGAACAGACGAGGAGCUUGCUCCUCUGACGUUAGCGGCGGACGGGUGGGUAACACGUGGAUAACCUACCUAUAAGACUGGGAUAACUUCGGGAAACCGGAGCUAAUACCGGAUAAUAUAUUGAACCGCAUGGUUCAAUAGUGAAAGACGGUUUUGCUGUCACUUAUAGAUGGAUCCGCGCCGCAUUAGCUAGUUGGUAAGGUAACGGCUUACCAAGGCAACGAUGCGUAGCCGACCUGAGAGGGUGAUCGGCCACACUGGAACUGAGACACGGUCCAGACUCCUACGGGAGGCAGCAGUAGGGAAUCUUCCGCAAUGGGCGAAAGCAUGACGGAGCAACGCCGCGUGAGUGAUGAAGGUCUUCGGAUCGUAAAACUCGGUUAUUAGGGAAGAACAAAUGUGUAAGUAACUAUGCACGUCUUGACGGUACCUAAUCAGAAAGCCACGGCUAACUACGUG
rnacentral:rRNA from 1 species